AUUGAACGCUGGCGGCAGGCCUAACACAUGCAAGUCGAGCGGAUGAAGGGAGCUUGCUCCUGGAUUCAGCGGCGGACGGGUGAGUAAUGCCUAGGAAUCUGCCUGGUAGUGGGGGAUAACGUCCGGAAACGGGCGCUAAUACCGCAUACGUCCUGAGGGAGAAAGUGGGGGAUCUUCGGACCUCACGCUAUCAGAUGAGCCUAGGUCGGAUUAGCUAGUUGGUGGGGUAAAGGCCUACCAAGGCGACGAUCCGUAACUGGUCUGAGAGGAUGAUCAGUCACACUAGAACUGAGACACGGUCCAGACUCCUACGGGAGGCAGCAGUGGGGAAUAUUGGACAAUGGGCGAAAGCCUGAUCCAGCCAUGCCGCGUGUGUGAAGAAGGUCUUCGGAUUGUAAAGCACUUUAAGUUGGGAGGAAGGGCAGUAAGUUAAUACCUUGCUGUUUUGACGUUACCAACAGAAUAAGCACCGGCUAACUUCGU
rnacentral:rRNA from 1 species